rnacentral:rRNA from 1 species
GACGAACGCUGGCGGCGUGCUUAACACAUGCAAGUCAAGGGGGCCCGCAAGGGUAACCGGCGAACGGGUGCGUAACACGUGAGCAAUCUGCCUAGAUGUGGGGGAUAGCCGGCCCAACGGCCGGGUAAUACCGCAUACGCUCUCCUGGUGGCAUCACCGGGUGAGGAAACUUUCGAGGCAUCUAGAGGAGCUCGCGGCCUAUCAGCUAGUUGGCGAGGUAACGGCUCACCAAGGCUUUGACGGGUAGCUGGUCUGAGAGGAUGGCCAGCCACAUUGGGACUGAGAUACGGCCCAGACUCCUACGGGAGGCAGCAGUGGGGAAUAUUGGACAAUGGGCGCAAGCCUGAUCCAGCCACGCCGCGUGAGUGAUGAA